CAGCCUGUAGAAGCACACAAAGCUUAAUUAGCCAGCUAAAAUGGUUUCCAAGUCUCUGGCCUUCGUGUGCGUCAUCUUCGCCUUCCUCGUCAUCGUCUCGCAAGGCGUGGUUGCUGCUAGGGAUCUCACCCAUGGUAAUGUUUCUUUCACUGAAUUAAUAUCUACUCCCUCCGUUUCAAAAUAGAUGACUCAACUUUGUACUAACUUUAGUAUAAAGUUAAUAUAAAGUUGGGUCAUCUAUUUUAUAACGGAGGAAGUACCUUGUUUAUUUGUAUUUCUGUGUUCCUUCUGUGGCAACUGCAGAGGAGCUUGAUUGUAUGGCUAAGAUUGGGCUGGGUGUGCAGUAAAUUCUCCAUGGAGGGAGUAAAUCUACAUGCCAUGGUUAUUUCUAAUGAUGUUGCCUUACCUUGGCUGCAGUUAACAGAGCAGGAGGUAACAAUUAUGGUGGUGGCUGGUCGGGCUCGUAUGGAGGGCGACGCCCAUGACGGAUGCUCUUCGUGGGAAUCCGGCAAAUAAAUGCAGUUCCGGCUUGCUUUUGCAGAUCAUUCAUGUGUAUGGUAUACUAUAUGGUAUAUAUAGUUUCUGUGUACAAGCUAGCUAGGUAUAUAUGUGCCCUGUGUACUCAAGAUGAACUUGAAUGAAAUGUAUCGACUGCUCUGGUGGUUAACGAUCAUUUUCUGACGAAGGGGCUGCGCCGAGCCUGUGCCUUCACUCCAACUCAUCCGGUUUGCCCAAACUGUUUCUCGAAAGUGGGACUCUGCUGGAUUUUGUCUUGCAGCAAAAGGGAGCAGGUAUCUAAAUAUAGCCUGAACAGAAAAUACAUCUUUUUCUAUUCUCUUUAAGAUCCGGAAUUCAUUUCUGGUUUUAACCAGACCAUACAAAAUGGGUGACCCAAGGGGUCGGUCGGCUGGCAAAACGCCUGAAUUGGUCGCCUUCCGCAUCGUAGGACGGGCAACGAUAGCCGUUCGAUGAAGUCCAACUUUCUCACGCGAGUCAUUUUUCUUAUCACGCGCACAGAUCACACCCGAAAAAGAAAAGGUCAGCCUACGAGCAGCUCCCGGCGCCCGACACCAGCCCCCGUCUCUGGAUACAUCGUCGCUGUUAGCCAUAAGCCAUGUGUGCGUGCACGACCGUGGCGCGUCUGUGCGCGUGU
rnacentral:lncRNA from 1 species